rnacentral:lncRNA from 1 species
ACUAAUACUUCUCCGGUUUGACGAAUGACUUCGAUGAGCGAGCGGUUGUCCAACUCGUCGAUAAGCUAGCGGAGGUUGCAAGGGGGAACACCCCCUGAAAAACAAGCGCAAAAUACAAUUGGGUUUGGAGAUUUAUUAGUAGUCCGGUCUUGGAUUUUACAAAUGUAUUGAGCCUCAUGUGUUAGAGCUCAUAUUAUAG